UCCUCAUGUAAAUAGCUGUGAUUUUCCUGGUUAGAUGCUAGAAAAUUCUGUCUUCUAAAGCCUGACCAGCUGGUGAACCGGAGAAGGGAGAACCUUUCAAAAUGAGGCUGCAAGGAUUUUGUCACCUGAGAAAAGAGAUGGGAAGUGCACACUGGCCAGGACUCGGAAUACCUUAUUCUGCAGGUCUGAGGAGCUGUAAACAAUGGAGCAGUGUGUGCCACUCAUCACAUCGCCUCUGAAAAAAAGCCUCCCACAAAGAACGGAACAAUUCAUAGAAUAACUUCAGCAUAUUCCCCCUCUUCGGUCUCAGAUUUUAACAGCUUGUAACAACUCAUUAUAUGAUCUUGUUUCCAGCUGGAAGGAUGGAGCCUGGAUUUUUAGG